rnacentral:rRNA from 1 species
AGCUCCAAAGUAUACCUCCUUUGUGCAGUCAUCCUGUUUGAACUCCUAAAAUAAGCAGAAUUGGGCCAGAUUAGUAGCUAGGUGGGAGACCCCUAAGAAACAGUGUCAUAGGAAUUU